CCUAGGGGUGGCAGCAGUGGGGAAUAUUGGACAAUGGGCGAAAGCCUGAUCCAGCCAUGCCGCGUGUGUGAAGAAGGCCUUCGGGUUGUAAAGCACUUUCAGUGGGGAAGAAAGCCUUGGGGCUAAUACCCUCGAGGAAGGACAUCACCCACAGAAGAAGCACCGGCUAACUCCGUGCCAGCAGCCGCGGUAAUACGGAGGGUGCGAGCGUUAAUCGGAAUUACUGGGCGUAAAGCGCGCGUAGGCGGUCUGAUAAGCCGGUUGUGAAAGCCCCGGGCUCAACCUGGGAACGGCAUCCGGAACUGUCAGGCUAGAGUGCAGGAGAGGAAGGUAGAAUUCCCGGUGUAGCGGUGAAAUGAGUAGAGAUCGGGAGGAAUACCAGUGGCGAAGGCGGCCUUCUGGACUGACACUGACGCUGAGGUGCGAAAGCGUGGGUAGCAAACAGGAUUAGAUACCCUUGUAGUC
rnacentral:rRNA from 1 species